rnacentral:rRNA from 1 species
UACGAAGGGGGCUAGCGUUGCUCGGAAUCACUGGGCGUAAAGCGCACGUAGGCGGACUCUUAAGUCAGGGGUGAAAUCCUGGAGCUCAACUCCAGAACUGCCUUUGAUACUGGGAGUCUUGAGUUCGGGAGAGGUGAGUGGAACUGCGAGUGUAGAGGUGAAAUUCGUAGAUAUUCGCAAGAACACCAGUGGCGAAGGCGGCUCACUGGCCCGAUACUGACGCUGAGGCACGAAAGCGUGGGGAGCAAACAGG